rnacentral:rRNA from 1 species
GAUGAACGCUAGCUACAGGCUUAACACAUGCAAGUCGAGGGGCAGCAUGGUCUUAGCUUGCUAAGGCCGAUGGCGACCGGCGCACGGGUGAGUAACACGUAUCCAACCUGCCGUCUACUCUUGGACAGCCUUCUGAAAGGAAGAUUAAUACAAGAUGGCAUCAUGAGUUCACAUGUUCACAUGAUUAAAGGUAUUCCGGUAGACGAUGGGGAUGCGUUCCAUUAGAUAGUAGGCGGGGUAACGGCCCACCUAGUCUUCGAUGGAUAGGGGGUUCUGAGAGGAAGGUCCCCCCANAUUGGAACUGAGACACGGUCCAAACUCCUACGGGAGGCAGCAGUGAGGAAUAUUGGGUCAAAUGGGCGAGAGCCUGAACCAGGCCAAGUAGCGUGAAGGAUGACUGCCCUAUGGGUUGUAAACUUCUUUUAUACGGGAUAAAGUGAGGCACGUGUGCCUUUUGUAUGUACCGUAUGAAUAAGGAUCGGCUAACUCCGUG